rnacentral:rRNA from 1 species
GAUGAACGCUAGCGACAGGCCUAACACAUGCAAGUCGAGGGGUAGCACAGAAUAGCUUGCUAUUUGGGUGACGACCGGCGCACGGGUGAGUAACGCGUAUGCAACCUGCCUAUAAGAGGGGGAUAGCCUUUCGAAAGAAAGAUUAAUACCGCAUAAUACUAUUUACCUGCAUGGGUAGAUAGUUAAACUAAUUGGCUUAUAGAUGGGCAUGCGUUCCAUUAGAUAGUUGGUGAGGUAACGGCUCACCAAGUCAGCGAUGGAUAGGGGUUCUGAGAGGAAGGUCCCCCACACUGGUACUGAGACACGGACCAGACUCCUACGGGAGGCAGCAGUGAGGAAUAUUGGUCAAUGGGCGAGAGCCUGAACCAGCCAAGUCGCGUGAAGGAUGAAGGUCUUAUGGAUUGUAAACUUCUUUUAUAAGGGAAUAAAAAAGAUCACGUGUGGUCUAUUGCAUGUACCUUAUGAAUAAGCAUCGGCUAACUCCGUGCCAGCAGCCGCGGUAAUACGGAGGAUGCGAGCGUUAUCCGGAUUUAUUGGGUUUAAAGGGUGCGUAGGCGGUUUAUUAAGUCAGUGGUGAAAGUUUUCGGCUCAACCGGAAAAUUGCCAUUGAAACUGAUAAACUUGAGUGUAAACGAGGUAGGCGGAAUUCGUGGUGUAGCGGUGAAAUGCUUAGAUAUCACGAAGAACUCCAAUUGCNAAGGCAGCUUACUAGGCUACAACUGANGCUGAAGCACGAAAGCGUGGGGAUCAACAGGAUUAGAUACCCUGGUAGUCCACGCAGUAAACGAUGAUAACUAGCNGUUUG